UUGUGUGUGGUGAUUAGGCAGUGUAGUUAGUUAGCUGCUCUUUAUACGCCAGCAACUAACUACACUACCACAUUAGCACAUCACUG
rnacentral:pre_miRNA from 1 species